UGACUACUUCAUCAGUUGGUGCCAUCAGACUGUUCUGAAAGUCAUUGCUACUGAUUAAGAGAAAUGAACUGGAUCCUUUUAAGAUGGCCCACAGAGCUGGCCAUAAAAUGGGAGAUGGCUGAGUGUCUGUAGGAGCAGAGCACUUGAACCAUCGUGAGCCAUGGUUGAACCAUCGUGAGCCAUGGAAAGGAAAGGAAUCCACAAUUAGCACGUGGCAAUCAAAGUAAGGAGAUGGAAGAAGACAUUCUGGUACCUGUCUUUUAGAUUCACUAUCCAGUACUUUUUUUCACCGGUACCAGGGAUCGAACUCAUGGUCACGCACUUGCAAGGCAGGCGCUUAUGCCGCUGAGCCAAAUCCCCAGCCCCUGGGAUUCACCAUUCACAAAACAGGAUUCAGACUGAAGUGCAAGGACAGAGGAGCCUCAGAGAAUACAGAGCAGGGUAAAAACGAAGAGUGGAACAUGUUGGAAAAGUGAUUAUAACAUGAACAUACAAGUUCUGUAGUUUGCAUGAUGGAGAACUUCCAUGUCCUCGGGCAGCUUGAUUAUUAGAGACCCUGCACUGACCCCCAGUCUCCUUUGAAGUGCUAUGACACACAGUGGAAACAAAGAAAGACAAAGAAACAAAAUGGCAGUGCAGCAGGGACACUGGGGAGAGUGAAGGAGGAUCUGUGAAGAACUGUAUCCUUUAAAAAUCUAUCAGGUUGAAGAUCAAGGCAAGGAUGAAACCUGCAUCAGAAUCUCUGAUUUUUGCUCAUCAUCUAGUGUGUUCUGCUUAUUUGUGGUGAGGAGUCAAGAAAAUGUGAUUUGCUAACAAAUCUCUACCUGUUGUCUUUAUUUUUUUUUCUUGAAUUUCAAGUUAAUAUAUUAAAUAAUGUCAAAAUAAGAAUAAUACAUCUUGAUAUGUGAAUAUCAUAUGAAAUCUGCAUUUCAGUGUUAAAGAAGUUUUACUGGGAAAUAGCAAAGCCUACACAUUUACAAAUCAUCUGUCAUUGCUUUUAGGCAGCCGUUGCUAGAUUUGAGUAGUGGCAAAAGAGACUGCAUGUGGCUCAUGAAGAUUACAAUGAGUACUACUGACCUUUUCCACAGAAAAUUUGUGUUUGUCUAAUUUAUCAUAUAUUUGAUUAUGGCUGAUAUCUAGAUGUCCCCACAAAGCCUCAUAUACUCAAAAGUGGUGCUUUAUUUUGGAAGUGGCUGGAUUCAAAGUAAGUGAAUGUGGAUUAAGGUCAUGUGAAUAUGGAUAAAACGUGUGGUAAUUAAAUUAGUACACUGAUUGGCUUAGCAGAGUUCUGAGUGUGGGUAAAUCCUCAACCUGGGUGCAGUAACACCAACCAAGCUCAUCGCCUGGAUGGAACACAUAGGAAAAACAGAAGACAGACUGACUGGUUCCUGCCUGCCUUGCUAGGGACUAUUUCACCUCUUUCAUGUUCCUGUGCCAUGCCACCUCCUCUUGGAGUCAAUCAGAUAUGGACUGAAACCUGUAUGAACUUUGAGCUCAAAUAAGCAUUUUCUCUUGUAGCCCUUGGAGCAUAAGAUGAAUGUUAUUAUUCAAGCACAUAGUUCUGUCAGUCCCAUGUGCAUUCUUUAGAAUAUUUCUAUUGAUGAAUUUUUAAUUUUAACUUUAUGAGUUUUGUUGUAUUAAAUGAUGAAUAUUCAGCAGAAAAAUCACAAAAAUAAAGUAUUGCAUUAUGUUUAUUAUAAAAAUUAUUAUAAAAAUUGACACUAUAAACUGGUUUUUGGUGUACAAAAUCUAAAAAAGAACACCAUAAGUAAAUUCCCAUAUGAGCUACAAUGAAAAUAGUAACAGCAGAGUAUAAAAAUAAUCUUUACUUCAUCACCGCUAAGACAUCUGUACCUACAACAGCACAUUCCAUUCCCACACAUCACUUACAUGACAGCCCAUGUCUUUUGCUUUCCUGGCCUUUUUGUGGGACAUGCUUGACAUCUCAGUGGUUUUACUAAUUUAUGUAGGUUCUUAAUUUUCAGUAGUCUUACUAAUUUGUCAGUAGGCACAUUUUUCAGUGUGUAGUUAACAGGAACGUAAAAUAUUAUGUAUAUAAAUUAUUAAUAUGUAUUUUGUGUUUAGAAUAGACAUCAACAUUUUCACAUCAAUUGUGUUCUUGCUUACAAUAACUAAAAGAUAACAUCAAAAACAAAAAGUCUAGUGAACUAUAAUGUAAGCACAAGCAAAAGUCAACCAUAAAAAUGAACUUUUCUUCAAACUGUCACACUGAAAGCAAUCUUCAUACUUGACAACUUCAUGCUUCAUACAAGUAUUACUUACACUGAUAGUAUUAUGUUUUGAUUUCUUAUACUUUCUUGUAGGGCAAAAUUUACAUCUUUUCAUUUAUUUUUUUAUGUUAUUGUAGUAGGUCUUUGUGAUGCUGUGCCUGUUUGUUUACCUAUCAGCUUACCAUUGUGCUCCACACAUUUUUUGCAUAGAUAGUUCUCGGGGCAAAAACAUUUAGUUUUCUUCUGCUGUAAAUAUUGUUUACGAGCUUUGACUCCAACUCUGAGAAACUUUCUCUGUGACAAUUUGCCCUUGUUAUUUUCUUUGUGAACUAUCAAACUAUACCUCACAUGUUCAGGAUCCAGUGAAACACAAUCAUUGGCGAAUGUUUUGUGUUUUAAGUGACAUCAUAGGUGGUGCAUAACUCUUCAAAAGCUCUACGUCGUCUUUGGUUUGGUUUUGUUAUUGACAAUUUCAUCUCGGGCUUCCAUUUUGUUGAGGUUUCCCUAUCAAUAUUUCCAUCAUGGAGAAAUGUUGACAUUAGCUGUACCAGUUUGUUUUUCUUUGCCAUAUAUGAAGUCAGUGUUAAAUCAUUGUGAAAUCCAAAGAUUGUACCAUGUAAUUCUCUGUUUUAAAUUUACAACAUUGCAUUUGGAAUUUCUGCUUUGUUUCUUUGUAUAGUUUCUGUCCUGGGCAACUUGUGCUCUAUUAGCAAAUAAAAUAUCAGGUGGGAUCCAGUAAACCAAUUGUCAAAUGUCACAUUCUGAUUAGUUUGGGAAAUGGAAGGAAAAAAAUCUGUUCACAGUAUCAUUUGAUUUAUUACUAUAGGAACAAGGACCUCAUGGCUGAGUUCCAUAAUAAAUGUCUAAAAUGAAA